UACGUAGGGUCCGAGCGUUAAUCGGAAUUACUGGGCGUAAAGCGUGCGCAGGCGGUUCGCAAAGACAGGUGUGAAAGCCCCGGGCUCAACCUGGGAAUGGCAAUGGAUACUGGCAAGCUAGAGUGCGGUAGAGGGUAGUGGAAUUCCCGGUGUAGCGGUGAAAUGCGUAGAGAUCGGGAGGAACACCAGUGGCGAAGGCGGCUACCUGGACCAGCACUGACACUGAGGCACGAAAGCGUGGGGAGCAAACAGGG
rnacentral:rRNA from 1 species